UGGGGAAUAUUGCGCAAUGGGGGGAACCCUGACGCAGCCAUGCCGCGUGAAUGAAGAAGGCCUUCGGGUUGUAAAGUUCUUUCGGUAUUGAGGAAGGUUGAUGUGUUAAUAGCACAUCAAAUUGACGUUAAAUACAGAAGAAGCACCGGCUAACUCCGUGCCAGCAGCCGCGGUAAUACGGAGGGUGCGAGCGUUAAUCGGAAUAACUGGGCGUAAAGGGCACGCAGGCGGUUAUUUAAGUGAGGUGUGAAAGCCCCGGGCUUAACCUGGGAAUUGCAUUUCAGACUGGGUAACUAGAGUACUUUAGGGAGGGGUAGAAUUCCACGUGUAGCGGUGAAAUGCGUAGAGAUGUGGAGGAAUACCGAAGGCGAAGACAGCCCCUUGGGAAUGUACUGACGCUCAUGUGCGAAAGCGUGGGGAGCAAACAGGAUUAGAUACCCUGGUAGUCCACGCUGUAAACGCUGUCGAUUUGGGGGUUGGGGUUUAACUCUGGCGCCCGUAGCUAACGUGAUAAAUCGACCGCCUGGGGAGUACGGCCGCAAGGUUA
rnacentral:rRNA from 1 species